rnacentral:piRNA from 1 species
UAGCAAGAUGUACACCUGACUAAACAGUGC